rnacentral:lncRNA from 1 species
GCUAGGUAAAACAUUUAUAAAUGAAUAAAAACGUUCCCUUUAUUUUUUGUGUGUUUCUUACAGAUAUUUCCCCACAAAGUUCUUGUUUUUGAUUCAUGUUUUUUUUUUUUAUCUUUCCCUCUCUUAAAUUAUAAAAAUAUUUCAGACAUUCAUUUCGCAUGUGUUUCAUUCAGUCCUCUUGAUUAAUGCAUAUGCCCCUGUAUUUCUAAAGACCCAUUGGUUUAUACAUUAUUUACAGGUUAACUCAGUCUAUCUCCCGUUUCAGCCUUGGCGUUAGGACACCAGAACAUAUUUGCAUAGAUUCCAGGAGAGAUCUAUCAUUUCACAAUACAGGAAGAAAAAAAAGUAAGAAAGAACAGCUGACAGACAAUUCCCAGAAAAAUGAAACAUAAUCAAAAUAGUUUGAAACUUAAAUCUUUAAAAAAAAAAAUACACACACACACACAGACACACACACACACACACUAGUGAUGAGAACCAUAAAUCCAUCCUCAUCAGCUCAUUGAUGAGAUAAUCACAAUGAGCCGUUCAGCUCUCUUGUGGUUUCUUGUCAUUUGGAACGGUAACAACAUCCUCUCCAACACAGUUUGAAUAUGAUAGGCAGUAAAUAUAAUAGGAAGUCAGGAAGUUACAUCAGAGGAUAUUUUUCAAACCUCGACUGCAUGGCAUUAUGUGGAGUGGCUGACUGGCAGUUCCAGAGAGAGAUGCAUGGCAUUAUGUGGAGUGGCUGACUGGCAGUUCCAGAGAGAGAUGCAUGCCAUUAUGUGGAGUGGCUGACUGGCAGUUCCAGAGAGAGAUGCAUGGCAUUAUGUGGAGUGGCUGACUGGCAGUUCCAGAGAGAGAUGCAUGGCAUUAUGUGGAGUGGCUGACUGGCAGUUCCAGAGAGAUGGUUGUAUGAGGGAGAGAGAUGCAUGGCUGAGGAAGACUACUGCUGCCACACACACACACACACACACACGACAAAACCUGGAAAGAGCUGAACACGCUCACAAAUCACCAAUCAAUACAAUUGAAAUAGUUGCUUGAAUUUCUUAAUUUACAAUAAAAGGAAAAUGAAAAUGCUAACAUGUUGAAAACACCUGAUCCAGCUACUGUCUGUAGCCACCCCGAAACCCAGAUGUAUUUAACUCAACACUUAUUAUAGGUUUGCGUUCUUGUGGAUGGGGGUUGCUUCAAGAGAACAGUGAACUGUAAUAAAAAGGACAGUGAAACUAACUCACACACCUUUAACAAGCAAUUCUUUCACAGAAAAAUAUUCAUACAAAGUUAAAAUCGGAGUUAAGAGUGACUGAUUUGAUGUCUGAUCAAAUGAAAUAGAUAACGGUUAAGAGAUAAUCAUUUGGUCAUUGCCAGGGUACAGUUCGUGACCUUAAGAGGGGUCACCAACUGUAAAAUCCUUUUCUCUUGCACAAUGUAUUGAGACAAAAUAAAAGUGAAUGAAAGGGGAUACAUCGGAGGUGAACGAACAGAGACAGAAGGUAUGGAUAUGGACAGCUGAAGGGACGGAUGUUGUUUUGGAAAACACUGCAGUAAUUUACUCUCUCCCUCUCUCUUCAACAUAGAAACAGCUUGAUUCUCUAGUCUCAGUCUAGCACAGAUUACCCAGAACCUACUUGUGGAACUAGCGACUUCUCAUAGAUUUUUUUGUUCAUAUAUCUUUUUAUUGAAUUACUGUAUUUUUUUCCUCUUCAAAACAUCUGGAUGUAGCUGUUCGAGGACUUGGGGAAUAUCGUCAAUUCUUGAGAGUUAUACAUGCCCAGAAUAAGAGUAACAGCGUAGGAUAUUAAGGGGACUUAUUGUAGCCAUGGCUUUCCUCAAACGUCAAAAGUCGUACCUGUCGACCAGAGUUUUGGCAUAUCCAUUUAAAUUCUGACAGAUGUUCUGAAAAAAAAUGGCAAAAAACAGUUAUUUCACUGACAGACCAGAGAGAAUGUUGAGCCAAGUUACUGACAAUAUAGAGACAGGGUUAGAGAUGGACUUUCACACACACACACACACACACACACACACACACACACACACACACACACACACACACACACACACACACACACACACACACACACAACCUCAAACCCUAGAUAAAAAAUAAAAAAAGGAAAUGAAAGUAAUUAAAGUGUCUUGGCAAAGCUUCAAACACUGUGUGGGCGGCUAGCUUCUCAACACGACGCAUAUUAAUCAAUAUUAGAUCCAUGGAAACACUGACAUGGUUAAACUUUCUACAGACUAGUUUCCCAGAGAGAAGAAAAAGGUCCCAUAUUUACUUGGUACCUCAGAAUGACACCUUUUAGAUAUGUAUAUUACCUAUGUAAGGUUAAGUAUUACUGUUUAAGACCGCAUCGCGCUUAGUUAGGCUAGUUCCAAGGUUAUCAUUAGCCUGGCUACCAGUCUCUUAGUUAGGCUAGCUCCAAGGUUAUCAUUAGCCUGGGUACCAGUCUCUUAGUUAGGCUAGCUCCAAGGUUAUAAUUAGCCUGGCUACCAGUCUCUUAGUUAGGCUAGCUCCAAGGUUAUCAUUAGCCUGGGUACCAGUCUCUUAGUUAGGCUAGUUCCAAGGUUAUCAUUAGCCUGGGUACCAGUCUCUUAGUUAGGCUAGCUCCAAGGUUAUCAUUAGCCUGGGUACCAGCCUCUAGCGUAUCCACUCCCUAUACACAAAUCAAAUCAACAUAUUAAUUGUUAACGUACACGUGUUUAGCAGAUGUUAUUGCGGGUGUAGCAAAAUACUCCAUGUCACGUGCCAAAGAUGGUAACGGCAAGGAGUGGAAUGUUAGCUAAGAGAGACUGGUACUCAGACUAGGUUAUCAUGACAGUUCUAUGUUCCAUUAUAGAACGGUUGGGGUGACUGUUCUAUGUUUUUGAAUUCCAUGUUCCUAGCCUAGGUGAUAGAUCUACAGUAUCUUUCCCUUGCAACAGUUGCCCCACCCCCCCGAACAGAAAUAUGGCCUUUCAGUAUAGAUAGCCAGCGUAAACUGAUAAUGGCUCUUAGGACUGGGACCCUAUUCUCCCAGGGUUUAGAGAGCCCAAACAAAACUGUGUAGCCUAUUUCUCACAACAGAUUUGAUGGAUGGAACGUCAGUUUGGUUAAUUGCAAACAGGAAACUAAAUGUGAUAAAUGUAGUCACAUUAAACAAAUGUAAAGCUUUUAGAGGAACCAAUAUCUCCCGAGUAAAACCAGCACGAGAGAAGGGAGGUUGAAAGCAACGAGCAUGAGGUUUUCUCCCAGUCUCAGACUACCGAUUAACCUUCCCAUCCUCUGUCCCACACUGAACCUUCAGAGAAGUAUACUCUACAAAGCAGGAUCAAUGAGUUAGCCAGCUAACUUUGAUAAGCAACCAGAAAUAACUAUUGCUAUUCUAAUUCAUUAAGAAAUCUAAACUUGGAUACAAGUUUUGGUUGAGCCAAUUUCAAGGUUAUCCUUCUAAAAAAAGAAAACGUUUCAGAAUAUUUAGGCCUGGCUAACUCAUUGAUCCUGCUUUGUAGUACACACACCUUUAAGCACUGCAGUGUUUUUUUAUACAACAGGACAGAAACACAGCCUUUCCUAUGGCAACACCAGGUACAUGACCAAAUAGACUGGCAACACCAGGUACAUGACCAUAUAGACUGGCAACACCAGGUACAUGACCAAAUAGACUGGCAACACCAGGUACAUGACCAUAUAGACUGGCAACACCAGGUACAUGACCAAAUAGACUGGCAACACCAGGUACAUGACCAAAUAGACUGG